rnacentral:lncRNA from 13 species
AUCAUGAAGUCUCCUGUCUGAGAAGGAUAUAAAAGAAUUUACUGGGUUUUAUUUUUUCCCACAGAAAGCAAAAUGGAUCUGGAGUGGCCUAUGAAAUCUGGCAAAUCUUCACCAAUACUCUAUUUCCAUUUCCUGCCUGGAAACAGCUACAUGAAGAGAGGUUUCCAUGUGUCAAGGCUCCAGCCCAGACCUAUGACACUGCUUAUUUAUGAUUGUCAAAAUGCCAGCUAUCACCAGUGAAGAACUCCAGGUGGCACAGAUGCUGUGACCUAUGUCCUACAGAUCUCAGGAGGUAUUCCAUAGAUGUUGGUACACUGGUACAUCCAGUGACAUUUUGUAAAACUUUGGCUCAAAAAUUUUAGAGCUAAGCAUAUGAUGCUGACAGGGCCUUACCCAGCCAAUGGGCAGCACCUUGGUGACUUUGGAUCUCAUUUUUACUUAGAAAAAUUUCUCUAAAAUCAAUUUAGAGAGUUAUGAGCAACACGAAAAAAUAAACAAAAUAUAAGCAAAGAGAAAAUAUCCCA